rnacentral:rRNA from 1 species
AUUCCAGCUCCAAUAGCGUAUAUUAAAGUUGUUGCAGUUAAAAAGCUCGUAGUUGGAUUUCUGGUGGGAGCACGGGUCGGCCUUCACGGGUUGUACUGUUGUUGCGUCCCGCCGUUUCGGAGGGAAUGGUCUCGCUAUUAAGUUAGCGUGAUCGGGAACUCUGUCGUUUACUGUGAAAAAAUUAGAGUGUUCAAAGCAGGCCUUCGCUGUGAAUACAUUAGCAUGGAAUAAUAAGAUAGGACUGUAGUGCUAUUUUGUUGGUUUGCGUACUAUGGUAAUGAUUAAUAGGGAUAGUUGGGGGUAUUCAUAUUCAAUUGUCAGAGGUGAAAUUCUUGGAUUUAUGGAAGAUGAACUACUGCGAAAGCAUUUACCAAGGAUGUUUUCAUUA